AUUGAACGCUGGCGGCAGGCCUAACACAUGCAAGUCGAACGAGUGGCGGACGGGUGCGUAAUGUCUGGGAAACUGCCCGAUGGAGGGGGACAACUACUGGAAACGGUAGCUAAUACCGCAUACCAUCAGAUGUGCCCAGAGGGGAUUGGCCAGUUGGUGGGGUAACGGCCCACCAAGGCGACGAUCCCUAGCUGGUCUGAGGGGAUGACCAGCGACACUGGAACUGAAGCACGGUCCAGACUCCUAGGGGAGGCAGCAGUGGGUAAUAUUGCACAGUGGGCGCAAGCCUGAUGCAGCCAUGCCGAGUGUAUGAAGAAGGCCUUCGGGUUGUAAAGUACUUUCGGCGGGGAGGCGUUACCCGCAGAAGAAGCACCGGCUAACUCCGUGCCAGCAGCCGCGGUAAUUC
rnacentral:rRNA from 1 species